ACGGAAGGCAGCAGUGGGGAAUAUUGGGCAAUGGGCGCAAGCCUGACCCAGCAAUGCCGCGUGAAGGAAGAAGGCUUUCGGGUUGUAAACUUCUUUUAAGUGGGACGACAAUGACGGUACCACUUGAAUAAGCUCCGGCUAACUACGUGCCAGCAGCCGCGGUAAUACGUAGGGAGCAAGCGUUAUCCGGAUUUACUGGGUGUAAAGGGCGUGUAGGCGGGACAUCAAGUCAGAUGUGAAAGCACGAGGCUCAACUUCGUGUCUGCAUUUGAAACUGACGUUCUUGAGUGUUGGAGAGGCUAACGGAACUCCUAGUGUAGCGGUGAAAUGCGUAGAUAUUACUCAGAACACCGAUUGCGAAGGCAUCUCACGAAUCCGUCAUUGACGCUGAGGCACGAAAGCGUGGGGAUCAAACAGGAUUAGAUACCCUGGUA
rnacentral:rRNA from 1 species